UGGGGAAUAUUGGACAAUGGGGGAAACCCUGAUCCAGCAAUGCCGCGUGAGUGAAGAAGGCCUUAGGGUUGUAAAGCUCUUUCGCCCGCGAAGAUAAUGACGGUAGCGGGAGAAGAAGUCCCGGCUAACUCCGUGCCAGCAGCCGCGGUAAUACGGAGGGGGCUAGCGUUGUUCGGAAUUACUGGGCGUAAAGCGUACGUAGGCGGAUGCGCAAGUUGGGGGUGAAAUCCCGGGGCUUAACCUCGGAAUUGCCCUCAAAACUGCACGUCUUGAGACCGAGAGAGGUAAGGGGAAUUCCUAGUGUAGAGGUGAAAUUCGUAGAUAUUAGAAAGAACACCAGUGGCGAAGGCGCCUUACUGGCUCGGUACUGACGCUGAGGUACGAAAGCGUGGGGAGCAAACA
rnacentral:rRNA from 1 species